CACGCGGCAGGACGCGGCCGUUCCCGCUCGGUGCCGCCGCUGCGAUGUCCGGCCCGGCUCCGGAGCCCGACAGCGGGGCUGAGUCCCUCUCCUCCGAUGAAAAAGAAUUGACAAGAGAAGAGUUAAAUUCCUCUCCAACUCUUCCUCCCUGCCUUUCCCUUGCAGAGGUGACUCCCAAUGGCAUGGAGGGAUCAUCGGGAUCAUC